AGUGAACGCUGGCGGUAGGCCUAACACAUGCAAGUCGAACGGCAGCACAGUAAGAGCUUGCUCUUACGGGUGGCGAGUGGCGGACGGGUGAGGAAUACAUCGGAAUCUACUUUUUCGUGGGGGAUAACAUAGGGAAACUUACGCUAAUACCGCAUACGACCUACGGGUGAAAGCAGGGGAUCUUCGGACCUUGCGCGAUUGAAUGAGCCGAUGUCGGAUUAGCUAGUUGGCGGGGUAAAGGCCCACCAAGGCGACGAUCCGUAGCUGGUCUGAGAGGAUGAUCAGCCACACUGGAACUGAGACACGGUCCAGACUCCUACGGGAGGCAGCAGUGGGGAAUAUUGGACAAUGGGCGCAAGCCUGAUCCAGCCAUACCGCGUGGGUGAAGAAGGCCUUCGGGUUGUAAAGCCCUUCUGUUGGGAAAGAAAAGCAGCAGGUUAAUACCCCGCUGUUCUGACGGUACCCAAAGAAUAAGCACCGGCUAACUUCGUG
rnacentral:rRNA from 1 species